GACGAACGCUGGCGGCGUGCCUAAUACAUGCAAGUAGAACGCUGAAGAGAGGAGCUUGCUCUUCUUGGAUGAGUUGCGAACGGGUGAGUAACGCGUAGGUAACCUGCCUUGUAGCGGGGGAUAACUAUUGGAAACGAUAGCUAAUACCGCAUAACAAUAGGUGACACAUGUCAUUUAUUUGAAAGGGGCAAUUGCUCCACUACAAGAUGGACCUGCGUUGUAUUAGCUAGUAGGUGAGGUAACGUCACAACUAGGCGACGAUACAUAGCCGACCUGAGAGGGUGCUCUGCCAAACUGGGACUGAGACACGACCCAGACUCCUACGGGAGGCAGCAGUAGGGAAUCUUCGGCAAUGGGAGCAACCCUGACCGAUCAACGCCGCGCGAGUGCAUAAGGCUUUCGGAUCGUAAAACUCAGUUAUAAGUCAAGAACGAGUGUGAGAGUGGAAAGUUCACACUGUGACGGUAGCUUACCAAAAAGGGACGGCUAACUACGUG
rnacentral:rRNA from 1 species